rnacentral:rRNA from 1 species
AUUGAACGCUGGCGACAUGCCUUACACAUGCAAGUCGAACGGCAGCACGGGUGCUUGCACCUGGUGGCGAGUGGCGAACGGGUGAGUAAUACAUCGGAACAUGUCCUGUAGUGGGGGAUAGCCCGGCGAAAGCCGGAUUAAUACCGCAUACGAUCUACGGAGGAAAGCGGGGGACCUUCGGGCCUCGCGCUAUAGGGUUGGCCGAUGGCUGAUUAGCUAGUUGGUGGGGUAAAGGCCUACCAAGGCGACGAUCAGUAGCUGGUCUGAGAGGACGACCAGCCACACUGGGACUGAGACACGGCCCAGACUCCUACGGGAGGCAGCAGUGGGGAAUUUUGGACAAUGGGCGAAAGCCUGAUCCAGCAAUGCCGCGUGUGUGAAGAAGGCCUUCGGGUUGUAAAGCACUUUUGUCCGGAAAGAAAUCCUUGGCCCUAAUACGGUCGGGGGAUGACGGUACCGGAAGAAUAAGCACCGGCUAACUACGUG